UACGAAGGGGGCUAGCGUUGCUCGGAAUUACUGGGCGUAAAGCGCACGUAGGCGGUCUUUUAAGUCGGGGGUGAAAUCCUGGAGCUCAACUCCAGAACUGCCUUCGAUACUGGAAGACUUGAGUCCGGGAGAGGUGAGUGGAACUGCGAGUGUAGAGGUGAAAUUCGUAGAUAUUCGCAAGAACACCAGUGGCGAAGGCGGCCAACUGGUCCGGUACUGACGCUGAGGUGCGAAAGCGUGGGGAGCAAACAGG
rnacentral:rRNA from 1 species